rnacentral:ncRNA from 1 species
CUAGUGCCCUGCCCCCUGACUCCCAGCCGUCCCGCCCUGACACACUUCCCCGGUGCCAGGUCGGAGCCCGCCCUGACACACUUCCCCGGUGCCAGGUCGGAACGGAUGGGGAUCAGGGGUCAGGGACCGUCCGGA